rnacentral:lncRNA from 1 species
UGAGCGUGGAACAGAAGCAGCAGAGAGACCGCAAGCGAGUAAUUGAACGUUUCUGUGCUCCACUCAGUGGGAUCCUCUGUAACCUCAGCCUCCAAGUCCACUUACGAGACCCUGCGCUAAGUGCUGCGGAAAUAGCUGGGGCCCAGAGCCUCAGGUGAUCACAAGGAGUAACAGGGCCUGGUCACAUGGAGACUUCACCAGGAAGUUGUGUCUGAGAGGAACGGAGGAAGAAACAGCGAAUAUCCAGGGAAGAGCGUGCACCUUCCCUCCCACCUGCUGCUCUCAGGGCGCCUCAUUUAAUGGGCGCUCAGAACCCUGGAUCCUGUGGUCAUCCUCGGGGCGCGGUUUCCUAGGAACCAUUACUUGGCCUGAUUCCAAGGACUAAAAUUCAAGGACUAAGUACACAAAAGACUUUGCCUAUUCCAUCAGGAGACACACGGUGAAAGCCAAAAUCUCUUCAUGUUGUAUUGAUGUACUCUAAAAUGAGGCGGAACCUCGUUUUACUUAUGAUACCCACAGUAACAUUAACUUGCAAAAAGUAAUGUUUACAUUCAAAUGAUUAGUUAGGAAUGCUUUUGAUUAGGGUGAUGGAGAACACUUUUCCAGAGACGUUUUUACUUAAUGAAAGACUUUCAAGGACAAUUUUCAUCAGAAAACAUUUUAUACUUAGAAGUAUGAUAUGAUACUAGAAGUAAGGCAUAUUCAUUAGAAAAAAAUAGAAAACAGAAAAUCCACCUAAGAAAAUGAAGGGAUUUAUAACUUGUUCACAUUUUGCUUACAAAUACUAAUUUUCCCCAAUUUUUUUCUUUUUACCCAUGAAGC